AAAAAGGUAAACAAGUUUUCCGCUGUUAACAGGCACAGCUUUUAGCUAUUGUGUCUUUCAAAGGUUUCCUUCGUGCUGCAUUUGUUGGAGAAGGUGGACGAUGUGCAUAUUUGCACUCUUCAGAAGGCGCUAAACGAUAUAGCCAAUUUGAUCAUAACGACUGCUUCGAAGUCCGUUGUUACCGGUCAGAUAAGUAGCGGCUGCUACCACCAUGUCGUCUGUUGGUCAACCAGCGGAAUAUAUUU